rnacentral:rRNA from 1 species
GACGAACGCUGGCGGCGUGCUUAACACAUGCAAGUCGAACGGAAAGGCCCUGCUUUUGUGGGGUGCUCGAGUGGCGAACGGGUGAGUAACACGUGAGUAACCUGCCCUUGACUUUGGGAUAACUUCAGGAAACUGGGGCUAAUACCGGAUAGGAGCUCCUGCUGCAUGGUGGGGGUUGGAAAGUUUCGGCGGUUGGGGAUGGACUCGCGGCUUAUCAGCUUGUUGGUGGGGUAGUGGCUUACCAAGGCUUUGACGGGUAGCCGGCCUGAGAGGGUGACCGGCGACAUUGCGCCUGAGGUACGGCCCAGACUCCUACGGGAGGCAGCAGUGGGGAAUAUUGCACAAUGGGCGGAAGUGUGAUGCAGCAACGCCGGGUGCGGGAUGACGGGCUUUGAGUUGUAAACCGAUUUGGACUGUGACGAAGCGUGAGUGACGGUAAUGGGUAAGGAAGCACCGGCUAACUACGUG